AUUGAACGCUGGCGGCAGGCUUAACACAUGCAAGUCGAACGAGUGGCGGACGGGUGAGUAAUGUUUGGGAAUCUGGCUGAUGGAGGGGGAUAACUACGGGAAACGGUAGCUAAUACCGCAUACCAUCGGAUGUGCCCAGGUGGGAUUAGGUAGUUGGUGGGGUAAAGGCUCACCAAGCCGACGAUCCCUAGCUGGUCUGAGAGGAUGACCAGCCACACUGGAACUGAGACACGGCCCAGACUCCUACGGGAGGCAGCAGUGGGGAAUAUUGCACAAUGGGGGCAACCCUGACGCAGCCAUGCCGCGUGUAUGAAGAAGGCCUUCGGGUUGUAAAGUACUUUCGGUGGCGAGGCGUUACCCACAGAAGAAGCACCGGCUAACUCCGUGCCAGCCGCCGCGGUAAUAC
rnacentral:rRNA from 1 species